UUAAAAAUGUAAUUUUCAAUCUCGCAACACUGCCCAGACUGACGUGCUACGUGCUUCUGGCGGUGGUACGCCAUGUUUAUUUUUUCAACUCUUGUUUGAACGAAAAGUUUCUUUCGUUGUCAAUUAUUUAUCAUUUGAAGCGCACCCCAAGGGGCACCCACUCUGGCCGAAAAAAUCGUCGAAUACACCGACCGCUUCAAUUCCGGCUCCAUGCAACUGGGCGCCGACGAGCUGCACAUCACAUUCCGGAUCAUCGUUCAGUGACCGUCGCUCGUCUACCAGCGGUUUUCCCGUUCCUUCUACGACUCCAGCUUUAGCAAUGCCGACAACAUCUAAGCCAAACCGGCGUCAUCAGCAAAACCAAAUCACUGGUCGUGCGCUAUCUCUGCGCACAGGUCCCGCUCCAACCAGCUCGGAAUCAUUGAAUCCAACUCGCUGUCGAUGUCCGUCCUCAAACUGCAUACGGACUGGACCGAGCGGAACAACUUCCUCCAGGGCUACCUGCUGCAUGCUGCAUGGAUCCUGAGAUCAUAUCCGGACCGGUGCGGACGUUUGCGAGCGCCCAAAGAAAAAUCGGCUUUGGAGCGCCUCCGAACACGAAGGGAAUCCAGCAAGACAUGAGCUACCCUGGGUCUGCGGAUCGCUACUGCGGAUUCCUGAUGAUUUCUCAAUGUGUAUCGCCGUUGCAUGCCACCUACCGGUGCUUUCGUGAUAGAUUUGCUGAUGUAUAGUAUCAUAUGAGUUUUGCUGAAAUAUAGAAUCAUAUCUUAAAUUUACAAAUCCUUCAAAAAA